rnacentral:sRNA from 1 species
UCCAGUCUGGAGUGUGGUGGCGAGAUCAGAGCUCACUGCAGCCUCCAACUUUCUGGCUCAAGCGAUCGUCCGACCUCAGCGCCCCGAGCAGCUGGGACCACAGGUGUGCACCACCACACCUGGCUGAUUUUUUUUUUAAUUUUUAGUAUAGAUGAGGUCUCACCACGCUGCCCAAGCUGAUCUGAAACACCUGGGCUCAAGCCGUCCUCCUGCCUCAGCCUCUCAAAGUGCUGGGAUCACAGGAAGCAUCCCUGUGAUAUUAGGGGUAAUAUCACAGCACGUCAGAAACAAUCCACCAAUCAGUACCCGGAGGAUCCAGUCCUGCAGGGCAAGAGGAUGACAGCAGGCAACAUCUGGGGCCCAACUGAGGAGAAAGCCAGGACCCGCCCCCUCCAGGCCCUGCCCUUCAGAACACCCCUUCCAGACCUCGCCUUCAAGAUAAUAAUCACCCUCUGGCCCCGCCCCUUCCGUCUGUCUGCCCGGCCCCCAAGCAGCCUCCCCAUUCUCGCAGCGCCCAGAUCC